rnacentral:rRNA from 1 species
AAGUCGUAACAAGGUCUCCGUUGGUGAACCAGCGGAGGGAUCAUUACCGAGUCUUCACACUCAGACCCGACGCGAACCCGAAACUGUUGCUUCGGCAGGCCGCUGGCUCAUGCCGCGCCCGCCAAAGGUUUACGAUAGCUCUGUUAGACUCUACGUCAUCUGAAUACGCUUCUAAAAUAGUCAAAACUUUCAACAACGGAUCUCUUGGUUCUGGCAUCGAUGAAGAACGCAGCGAAAUGCGAUAAGUAAUGUGAAUUGCAGAAUUUAGUGAAUCAUCGAAUCUUUGAACGCAUAUUGCGCCCGCCAGCACUCUGGCGGGCAUGCCUGUUCGAGCGUCAUUUCAACACUCAGGUCUCAGUCGCCUGGCGUUGGGGCGCUGCGGCCCGACCCGCAGGCCCCCAAAUACAGCGGCGCAUCCGCCGCGGCCCUGAGCGCAGUAACUAUCUUCAACGCUCCGGCGGCUGUGGCGUGCGCUAAGAAAAGUCGGGAUGAGCACACAAAGUUGACCUCGGAUCAGGUAGGACUACCCGCUGAACUUAA